rnacentral:lncRNA from 1 species
AUUUUUUCAAUAUUCAAUAUUUAUAUUGACAAUAGUGUAUCGAACAAAUAGAAUUCAUUGUGAUAAAUGAAGUGGAUCUAUUUCGUUUUCUUUCUAUUGAUUGAGACCUAGCCUCUCUCCUUUGGUUCGUAGCCUUGGGUUAUACACUUUUCCUUAAGGCAGAGGUUUUGCCCACUUCAAAAACAUGUACUCCGUCGAAGGCAAAGAGGUUUUCAGCAACCCUAGAGGUAGUUCAACUUGAAGACUCUCUUUUUCUCUAUACGGAAUUCCUAGGAGUCCACAAAAGAAGGCAGUACCAAAUAACCUAGAAUAAGGAAGUUUUAUACCUACUCAAGGGAACUACCAAAGAAGUAAUAUAUCCAGUCACCUGGUCUUUAGGAUUCUUACGAUAGCAGGCGAGACUAAGCAGAAAUACAAAGUCUAGGUAAUUCUUUAUCCACUCUGCCUAAGGAAGGUAAAUUAGCGGCAUCUCCUUCGAGAAGAGCUCAUAUUCUUUCAGUAAUACUAUGAGAUAGAUUAGGAAAGACUUCAUUUUUUGGGUCAAGGUUUGCAUUUAGUUGAGGUAGAAGUUCGUUAGCAAGUGGAAAGUUAAAAAGGGGGUCAUUCUCUUCUAAUUGAACUUCCCCCCGCUUACUUGAAUUCCUUCUAAUUCAAGGGUUAUAGGUGCAUCCCCAUUUCCCUCUUCGGCCUCUCUCUCUUCGAGUCGUCUUCACUUUUUUAAUCCUACUGCUUUUCUCCCUCUAUAUAGCACAGGUAGCUUGCUUCCAAGCCACUGGCAGGAACCAGAUAAGGAACAAGAGAGAGAAGCAGCUCAAUUUCAAAGGUUAGGCGCGAUAGCCACUCAUGCAGAAGGAGAUGUUUGGGAUAAAAGCCCCAUCUCAUGGUGCUUUUGUUAAGAGUUCCCCCUCUUCGACAUAUUUUACUGUGGAAACCCUGAUGGAGAAGAUUGUUGGCCCCUUCUCUGCUGGUUCUCUCAGACUAGCAUCAACAAAUGUUAAGGUUAACCUAAUAGUCAGGUUUCAUUACUUCCAAAAUCCUGGUGAUGGAUGUGGAGAGGUGUGUGAACAGAAAGAUUCAUUAUGUACAACAAAGCCGCUCCAUGUAGGAAUUCAAGUACCAACAAGAGUUUGGUCCUAUAUAUUUCAGGUAUGUUGGACCUUCAUUACCUGCUGAUCUAUCCAAUGAUUUUUUGAUGGGAUAGUUCUGUCGUUGUGACCACAAUAUCGCAUUACCAUGGCGGCUGCCUUAUUGGGAAAGUGGUUGAUAGGAACUUAAGACUUUUUGGGGCACUCAUAGUUGUUGAUGGUUCAACCUUUACCAUGUCACCGGGCACCAAUCCGCAGGCUACUCUGUUGAUGCUUGGCCGGUAAGUGCUUUAAUAUGCGUUGGAUAUUGUACAAAAGUGCGAUUGCAACUAAUCGGGAGCUUGCGUAUGUAAACGAAAGAGUAUACAUCCCCCUUGAUAACUGAAUGCAAGCGAGGCUAGACCUAGAUUCGCAUAUGUAAGUGAAAACAAAAAGAAAGAAGAAGCGGAACUCCUUUCUUGUCUAGAAAGGGGAAGAGGAGCUCAAACAAGGUUCAAAGAUCCCCUCCCCAAAGUAUGGUUUAAAGAAAGCCUUUCAGGUUAGUGAGGAACAUGAUAGUGAAAGAGAAAAAAAAGGAAAUCCGUUUAUGGCGGCUUACCUUCGUACAUUCAAGAACAGUUAUGACUCCUUGGCAUCUAUCAAUGCACCGGUGUCCCAAUCUGAUAUGUUUACAUUCCUUCUUGCUGGCCUGCCUUCGGAGUAUGAAAGCUUUGUCACUACGGCGAAGCUUCAACGACCAAAACCAACUAUGGCUGAGCUUCGUUCUUGUUGUUACAUGAGUCUUGGCUUCAGCAGAUGCAUCCUAUUACUAUGUUCAUGAUCUUGUAUACUAAUCGAGUUCGCACUCGCCCUAGAACACGUACGUCCUCCCUGUAAUUGUCUUGUCUUUGUUAUGGUUUCAGGGCCUACGUCUACCCGUAUGGAGCCACCAUCAUUUGCAAGGCUUGCUUUACAUUGGACCCGAUGUUCAGCCUCUUAGACAAGAUGAAAUUGAGGAUUUGUAUUAUACCCAGGCAUUCAUUCCUGGACUUUACAAGUUACAAGUUAUCCCCACAUGGAGUCCACCCAAGGGAGAAAUCCAAUCCAAUGGGUCACUAGGACUGGGCUUGACAUUAAAGAUAGAGAAAAGCAUAUAAGCGCAAAAAAGGAAAAUUGCCUGGGAAAACAAUCCCAAGGGAAGCUUCUCGCUAGUGCUUUGCCCCACCACUGAACAUUGCAUUGCUAUGGUCAAUAAACAGCCUUAAAGUGGUUCUGAAUGACCUUGAGGAGGCCCUGGUGCAGUACCUUUGUCGCUCGAAGGAUCUAUGAAAAGAAUGUCCCACUACGAAUUCCUAUCCCAUUAAUAAAGUACAGAUAAAUAAUAUAUUCCAAGUCUGACUUUUAAAGCAUACGCAUUGAAAAAAACCUUUGGCUUUGGACUUUCUGCUUUGAUAGAUCUUUCCUCUCAAAAUAGGUUUUACCUAACCCACUAUGUCCUUUGUUUAAUACCCAUUUUUAGGAGCGGGAAUCGUCGAAUUAAAAACCCUUUCUUCUGCCCUCGCCACUUCUUUCACUGACCCUAUCCACCUUAUUUGCAGAAUACCAGAAAAAGAGAUGAAUUAGCGGAUCAUAGGGCUAAGUCGAAGCAUGCUUGAACCUUCUUCGUUAGAGACUGAGUUAAUAUACAAUCCCACUUUGGAGACUUCCCUUCGGGAUAGGUAGGAUAUGGUGCCACAAAUUAUAGUCUACUCGGCAUGGGUGUCCAGGGUAUAUUCCUGCAUUUCAUUCAAAUGGGUUGAACAAUUCAUGUGAUUGUUUACAGUUGGCAAUUGUAUGCUCCUGGAUUAAACAUAAGAAUCCAAUUCUUUCUUUGGAUUGAUUCAUUCGUUAGUGUCGGAUAGCUUAGUAGCACAUUAUGAAUCUGGGAUUACCUGUUAGGUAGAACUAAGAUCUGUUGUUAGCUUCUUUAAGUCUUACCUUCUCUUUCAGCCGAUUCAAUCUCAUCUAUCUUAUUUCGUCGAUUAAGCAGCCCUGGAAUCACUUUACUCUCGUGCAUUUUGAGUAUUGUAUUAAAGUCUAAAAGAUAAUAAGCAUCUUUCUUUUCUUUUCGACGAUAUACUAAGCGCCAAGCCUACCUGUGUUCUGUCAACACCGAUAAUAGAGUAUAUAAUUUUUCUCAAUAUCUUUCUUUAUUCUUUCUGGAUUUUUCUCAAGAAAGGGGAAAUUGAAGACUGAGAACAUAGGAGGUCGGUGGCUAAGAGACUGACUUAAGAAAUUAGGUCGAGUCGAUAUUCGUCGUGCUAUAUAUCAUUCGUGAUCCCCACCUGGGAUUCUUGUGGUUCUGGAGGAUCCAACUACAGGAGAACUAGGAACAGGGGGCUUUUCCCUCUUUCCGCCCGACUCUUUGGUCUUAAGAACGCUGGUUUUAAGAAUGAGUCAUUGCCCUUCUCCGACCCUGACUGCCCAACCUGAGAGUGGACAGCUAAUGCGUUCCACUUAUUGAACAGGGUUCUAUGGUCGGUCCGUGACCCCUGGAUACCGAAGGCAUUCUUGGGGUGAUUUCAUAGUUCCUACGGGGGCCCGGGGAGAAUAGGCCAUUCAACUGGGAGAUUUUGAAAUUGCAGAGGCUUGGUUCAAUCAAGCCAUUGAACCUUUUCGACUAUUAGUAGCGGCUCAUGAAGUAGCCCUCUUUCUUUACGAGCUUACCCGCAGAGAACCACCCCUUUUAAGGACUAUACCUUGCUAGGUGAUGAUAUCCUAAUCACUGAUGCACUUGUGGCACAACAAUAGAGGAUAAUACUGGAUAAACUCGGUGUGACCAUUUCGGAGGCCAAAUCGAUAAUAUCUGAAACUGGUUGCGUCGAGUUUGCCAAGAGAUUCUGGGUCAAGUCAGGGUCUAUCAGCCAGCCGAACCCAUUCAGACCCAAAACUGGCUUGCGCAAAUCACCCUUAGAUAGGGUAGACUUUAUCACGUGCCCUCCCAUUCCAUCUAGGCCAAAUACCUAUUUAAGGUAUUUUCGAUGAUAGCAGUUCCCACCCGAGUAGGGUGACUGAAUAAGAUGCUGCGGAUUUCCCACUUUCGAUGUGAAAGCAUCUGGGGGGAAAACCCAUCCUGCACCAAUGCAGCCUCGACCUUCUUUUCGACCAGAAACUGUUUGUCCAGUACCCAAAGAUAGAUUGGGAGGUGCCUGGCCUCGUUUCUCUCUUGAAAGAAGAACGCUAGCCGGGUCUAAAGCUCUGCUCUCCUUUGCCUAUCCGACCAGACGGACUGGCUGGCCCACUUGUACUUAAUAAAAUCAAAAUCAAGGCAAAUUCCCCUGAUGGGAGUGAACAUAGGGAUUCCCCGACGAACGAAUACAAUACAUGGAAGGCUGGAGGAUGUAGUACUGGACGGCUUUACCUACGACAUUUCCUACUCCUACUUUUCAUACAAAGAGAAUGGGCAGCCUGGAAAACUUGGAAUGAUUACAAAAUGCUUACCGCCUUCGAUUCACAUAGGUGAGUCAACCUACGAGCACGGAAGAGCAUGGUACCGCUACCCCUCUCUAAGUAAAGGUAAGAUUCUUGGGGCAACAAAAUGAUAUCGCUUCCCUUUCAUGAGGCGAGGACGCCGCUAGCCUCAUUGGCAACCUUAUAAACCAGAUAUCUCGGGUUCACUGUCGGAGCACACCGACAGAGAAGGGAACGAAGGCUAUAACAUAGGAAUUAGGUUGCUUGCAAUUCAAGACUUCCCCUUUCUAAAUUUUCUAGUCCAAUCAACAGCCUCUUACUAGGUGAUACUGAGGAGGGCCAGACCCUUUUUUUAUUUCUUUCUUUCUUUACUGUUCAAAGAAGAAGUUUUUUGUUAAGUGUAUACGCACUUUGUAUGAGAAAGAAGGGAUAUAAACAUAAUGGUUGUCUAACGAGAUACUAUGCUAAAGGGGAAUAGGUUGUUUUGCGCAUCCAACAACUGAAAGAGUUUGCGGAGAAGGGUUGAGUUGCGUAAUAGCAGAUUCGUAGGUCAAUAAAUCGUUGGAUUUGAAAUCGAACUCUCUACCUUGGGUGGAUAGGAAUUGAGACUUUCAAUGGUCCGCUCUUCUCUCCUCGUGAUCGAAGCUGACCCCAGAAGUUGGGUAUUCCGGGCUCUUUCUUUCACGCUAACCCCAUUUUCAACAUGCUGAAACUUUCUGUUUCAUUGAGCUCCAAGCUUGUGGUCCUCCUUUGAGUGUGGGUUCAAUUGAAUGCCUCCUUGAAGUGCAAUAAGAAGUAGGCUUGCUGCUACUACCGGUCUGGGUGGACUGGAAGUGCAUAAGUAGUUGCGUCAGCUGUUGAGUUUGGUUCAGAGCCAGGACAUCUUUGGCAUAUCCACUAGCAGCGCCUUUGGCAUGAUAGGCAGGCAGCAUAUCUUGAUCCAUCGGUAGCAGAACCACCGAGGGAAUUGAGUGAAUGACCUUUUCUUGCACUUCUUAUUCAACAGAAUAGUUAACUAGUAGUCUUUAAGUCAGAAAUCGGUUUCAUAUCUCAUAUGACAUCUGUACCAACAGACUUCUUCGGACACCAAUAAGGUAAGUAGCUACUCCAGCCGAUCAAACUCCAGAGGAUCCAGCUUAUUUGUUGGAUAGGUUAGCCCCUUCUCCUUCAGGAGAUGCAGCAAUACUACGUUCUCAUCUGAGUUCUCUUCCUCAAUCCACUCUAAGAAAAAGGCGAGAGAUAGGCUCGUGAGAACUCCCACUCCUCGGUCGAGUAAAGCAUCAAUCAAGUCAUCUCAUAAAAUCUCCCACUCCUCGCAAGGCUAAGAAAGCACUUCGGCUAGGGCGAAUGGUUCUAAAAAAGGAAGCCACAUUCAUUCGAUCUUUGAACCAACUCAACUGAAGGACUCAACGACUGGGGCAAAACAGUUUCCAUCUAUUGGCCUUAGGGGCUGCUUUAAAGAGUACCUGUUCUAGCUAGCAGCCUCUUUUUCCUGAUGAGGAAAUAGCGGCCAAUUAGCUACAUCCUUUAAGCCCAUUAGCGCAAGUCACUCUAUUAGCUCUAUUAGCUACAGGAAGAGGAUAUCGACUUAUUAAAGGGGCGGGCAGCAGUCGGACCUUUUUAUGAACUGAUAGCGCAAACGUUAUGUCGGAAUCAAUCUAGCAUUCCGCUUCGAAAGCUGUCUUUCUAAUGGCUUAUCUAUAUCCAUCGUUGUAGGCUCGACUUUCUUUAUUCUCUUCUAUAAGACAUUUAGUGGUUUUUUCCCUAUCGCAUGCCAUGUUGAAUCGAUAAACAAAAAAGGAAUGAAAGGAGAGGGCUGUAUCGAAUCAUAGAAGAGGGUCUUACCAUCCCUCUUUCCUCGUCGAGACAAAAGCAUAAUGAUAAGCAAUGGAGAUCCAUGAAGCCAUGAUAGAGUUUGCACCAGAUUCAUACAGAAGGACGGAUCGCCUCUCAGAAACUUCUGCCGUCGAGAAGUGCACCCAAGGAAUGCAUUGGGGUCUUGUGUAUAUCCUCUAAGGAAUCAAGCCAUGCACUUUCGAAGAAUUGGCGACUCGACUCCCUCUGUUUUUAUUCCAUCGGGCCAUGGCACAUAUAGAGAACGGUACGAUUCCUGUUAUAAGGACACCUUCGCCAAACCUUCCAGAGGCCAAGAACUCAAAAAUCCGAGGGUUUGACCCUUCGUAAACAUCACAACCGAUGACCUAUAGCCUUUAUUAUAUUAUAGAAACUAUAUGGUAAUUGAAAGACUACAGAAAAAAGUAUAAACGGUCCAGGAAGUUGCAAAGGGAUUUCCGAACAACCCUGCAUACAGGACGUCAGGAUAACAGAUUGCCAAAAAUCCUACUUCUACAAUUGGUAGGUCACCACGAUCACUUGGGGACUUCUUACUCCAGCUGUUCCAAGAGUCUCCGCUAGUUGAACCGUGUCCAGUAGACUCCCUCUUCCGCUCAUCCCCUUCAUCAGCUCUUUGAUCGGGAUACUAUUACCUAGGUUCCUAAAUUUGGAAUGGAUGGCGGAGCGUAGGUGGCAAGCAGUUAUAUGGAUACGGUGCUUUACCCGUAGAUGCUUCUCCAACUCUCGCAAGAAUUGUAUGGGAGUCGCCCUCAGAGGGACUUCCUGAAUGACCGUACCGAGGAAUUCUACCGUACUUCGUGCAGCUAUAGUUGUUAAUCCUGCAGAGUCUACCCAAAGGUUCAAGCCAGAUUAUAGGAAGUGGGCGAUACGUUUUUGUAUUUCUAUGAGAAGCUCGAUGGAACCCACGAGUCCUAGUAGUAAGUCGUCGGCAUAUCGCGCGUAACAAAUCCUUAUUAAGUAAUAGGUUUUUAAGGGGGCCAGCUUACGGGUCAGGCCUCUCUCUGACCUGAUAAUAAGUAUCACCUCCCCGCCCAGCUCUAUCAGCAGGCCCUUUCUUUUACCACGCGUAGAAAAUGUAACAUAGAGCCAUACCGGCCAACCCCUCUCUCCAUUUCGAAAAUUGGACAUCAAAUGCCUUGCGCUCACAGCCCUUUCUUCAUGUUAAAGUGAAUCAUGGAAGCAGCCCGAGGUGGGAAUGAAUCCUUCUUAUGUGCUUUCACACCGGCAGCCGAAGUCGAGCAUACAUACGACGAUCUUCAUGCAUGAAUAGCCGGAAGGAAAGAAAGGGUGGUAGAUGAUAAUGAGAAAGGGCACCGCGUCUGGACGGGCGGAAUGGAUGAGCGAAAGGUUAGUGACGGGAACUUAGCUAUCUUUUGGUCAGGUUUUCCGGGGUUGGUUCCUCUACUAGAAUAGGUCCCAAAUGCCUCACUUCUCUUACUUUUGGUGCUUAUCUUCAGUUAGAAGAUGGUCACCUGCCCUAAGCAAGAUCAAAAAAUCAGCAGGCCAUUCACGCAUCUUCCGUAGAGUACCAGCGCCAGCCCGCACUCAAUUCAAUGAUCAAGCCAAUAAGUCUCUUUCUAUACAAGGACUCAAGCACAUAUAGGCAGGCGACGACCUUUUUUUUUCAUCCCUGAGUCUGUUGAUCAACAAUUCUCAUUUCUUAGUUACAGAAAGCCCUUCUCAGUAAGCCAAGAGCCACUCAUCUAAGCCAGCGGAUUCGAAUUCAGCUGUGCCAGUGCACAAAACAAGCACGCUUAGACUGUGAUGUGCAAUCAUGAGUACAAUUUGACACUUUGAACGAGCAUAAAGGUUUGGAACUCUUUUCUUAUCUGAAUCCUAAGGACAGGACCCUACCCUAUUCUCGAACCCUCUGCCGAGCUCUACUCUGCCCGCAUUUCCUUGUGCUUUGAAGAGGAAAAAAAAAUCUCUCUACCUGCUGCCAACAGUCUUUCUUCGGAAUUAUCUGAAUGGGUAGAUCCUCCCAUCCCCUUUGUUUUAGCAACUUAUCCUAAGGUCUCCUCGCCAAGAGCUCCCCGACGACGAUAGAGGAAGCAACCCGUCUGCUGUGGUGGGGCGACUUUUUUCUUUCACAAUAAGACCUGGGCCAUAGUGAGUUCAUCACCAGUGGCAUAAGCAGAGGAGGCAUAUGGGGUAGGGAGAAAGGCAAUUUACCUCGAUUCUUACAAUUCUAGUUAAACCCACAACAAAGCCAGCGUUGCUUUCGUGGGAUCAACUGCUCGUUUUUGAUUAUCCAGUUCUAUAUCAACUAGUUUUAAAAGUUCUUCCAUUUAGUAAUGGAAGUCAUUCGUUGUCACUUUCGUUGGGUAUGGUAGAGAGGCUUGAGAAGGUGGACAAUCCUUCAGUGAAGACGUAACGAGCAAAGAAGCACUUCUUGUAACCAAAACAAAAACCCCAUGGAUCCGAAAUUAUUCUGGACCACGCCGCUAGAUUGAGACUGCCACCUUCCUAUUUGAGUAAGGAAUGAAUAUCAAACCCUACUGAUAUUCAACCGACAACCGGGCCUAGUGGUGCUUGCAGCUUUUCCUAUUUCGGCUUGGAUUGAAAAUACUGGAUAGGAAAGGAAAACAAACUAUCCCAUCACAAGCGGUACACUGAACACCAACCCAAUCUCAAAAAAUAAAGAGAAGUACAAGCAAGGACAUUUUCUCGAUCAAGAAGGUAUUGAACUUCUCGACGCACCUCUAUCAAUUCCUUCUUUGCCGGGCCUACCCCCCAACCUAGAGUAGCGAGGUGGGAAAGUAAAAUCAAUCCUUGUUCAUACAUAGGCUUCUCGGAUACAAAAUAGGCUACUUCAAAUAGGUUCAUUGCUCCGGCCCAGAUGUCGAGGACUUGAAUAAAUUUUAUUAGAUAUGAAUUCGAACUUUUUGGUAUUCACGACCGAGAAAGAAAGGUUCCGCGUUCGAACAUUGGUUGAUCUUAGCUUAGCGUGCUAGCCGCUGCUUCAUUUCGCACGUUGACUCAAUAAUGAUUCCACUACUUUCAUGGCUAUGUAUGCAUCCUUCUGAUGAAUAAAGUUAGCGCAUACUGAGGAUUGAGUCUGUCGCUUAUCCCUAUUCAUAGUAGGUACUCUUAGAAGAAAUAAUAUAGUAAUAUAGUAAAGGACAAAAGAAAGAGAUUCAUUUUGAUAUGCGGAUUACCGCUUCUGAGCUUCGAUGACCGGGAGGGCUUGAUAAGCAUGAGUGAAGAAGGGUCUUAUGUUACCAUUUUUGGUGGUAAAGAAGAUGUUCUUGUUCUUUCAUUCCCCAAACCCACUUCAGCUUUCGACGAUUGGGUUGAUAUUCUGAUAGGCGAGAGGUGUGAAGCCAGAUCGUACUAAAGACAAUGAAAAAGUUUCGAAAAUGAUAGAUUUCCAAAAAAUAAGUAAAAGAAGAAUGAAAGAUAGUCCUAUAUUGACAAGGAUGAGCUUUUUCACGAAGAAAGCUUCGUGCCCAACUGCUUGUAUAUCGAUCGGAAAGAAGCAGCUGCAAAUGCUAUCAGUGGUUCUUCCUCUCUGCUUAGUGACUCAAUCUCUCUUUCUUUUGAAGCUCGUGCAAAGCGGUAACUAUCUGAAGGCCUCGCACCGGCGCUAGUUGAACCUUCUUCGGUCUCUUUCAGCGGCGAUACCUGCCCGAUGCUGGAAGGUCGGAAGGAGAAGUGUUACAAGCGUUGAAUAGAAGCCUCGUAAACGGCAGCAGUAACUCUAACUGUCUAAAGUAAGUUUCACAGAAGAAAGGCUGGUUUGUCAAUGCUUUAGGUAAAGUGUAAGUGGCUUGAGCCUACCUAAGCUUGAUGAAGGGCAGAUGGACCUGGCGUUGAGUGCCCUUUCCGCUCAUCUUCCUAUAAAAGCGGCUGAGGAUUUGACUUGACUUAAUCAUAUUGGGACUAAUGAUCCCUCUCUCUCCUUUUUUGCUAAUUGAAUAGAUUUUUUUCUUUAGUGGUUUUGCCCAAUAUGCUAUUCGAAAAAAAGGAGAAUGGCUCGGCUAUCCCACCUAGCCAAGCCAGAAAAAUAGAUUUGAUAUAAAGUUGCAUAAAGCCCCAAUUCAAAUUAUUAAGAAUUCAAACAAUACAAAGCACAGAAGAACGAAAACCACAAAUGCAAACAACAGUAACAAGUACAGACAUAAAAGUGCAAGAUGAUCCAUACACGCUCGACCGCGAAAAGGAGAAAACGGCCUUAAUCUCCACUAUUUCUGAUUAAGAACAAUAUAUUUUUCUCCUUUCCUUGCCCUUCUUGAUGAUGUGCAGCACACCAACCUACGCUCUUUUUCUCAUUAACCAAGAACCAUAUACCAUACCACGACCUCAUUACGAACAAAAAAGUGGAAUGAAAUCCCAGUUAUACACUCCCUUCAUUCUACGAACCCUUGUUGAUUCUGAACUUCAUUCGCGAAGGACCGGACUUUUGACAGGACAACCCUUUUUUAUACGCCGCUUUACCCUAAAAGAAAAAUGAGCUUUGCUCCUCUGGGCGCUAGGUGCUCCCAUGGUUUGCGAGAAGGAAAAAGGAUGUUGCAUCUGGCACGAGAUGAUAAAGAGAGAGCUUCGUCUAUUGAUGAACAGCGGAUUAACGGAGCUCUUGGCAUUGCUUUGUUUUUAUCCCCUUUCCUAUCAGCGAGUUCUAACCCUUUUGUUCAAAAUUUCUUUAUUUGUACUGAAAUGAACUUGACCAAGAGGGCGGAACCCCGUUAGUAAAAGACCGGAGAGAACUCCGCUUUUUGGAUCAACUUUUACAUGAUCUCCGAAAAAAUGGAAUAAACUCCGUCUAUUCAAUAUUCCAUUUGGGUGCCCAGUGAGAAAGGCCCUGACCCUGCCAACCAAGUAUCAAAAAGAAAAAAGAGAAAGAAAGAAGAAGAGAACUUCGUAUUUGUCUCACUCUCAGAGGUGGCCCUUGAGUUCAGUUGCUUUUGGUUUAAUAUGGUAUCGAUAGCAAUAGCCAUUUUCCAGUUUGUCGGUCCCCGAUUAUAAGUUCUCAUUGACCAUGACCUAUAGGAACCAGGCUAUCUACCACUUUUAAACCUGUUCUCACAAUGAUUGAUGAGGAGAUAAGGGGCGAAGGAUAUUCAUGAUAUUCGGAAAGAUUUCUAUUCAUUCGCUCUGCGAGCAGAGCGGUAUACCGAAAAAAAGAAGCGGCUACUUUACUUAAGCAAUUCUUCUUAUUCUUCUUCUUUCUUAGUUGAAGUUCCCUUUCUCCGGCAGCUAGUUCAAU